AAGAAUUCCAUGGGAAUUUAACAUAGAAGGAAGAGGGGUCCAAGAGAGCAGGUGAAUAUUCAAGGAUCACUUCCUCCAGGCUCAAGAACAGUACAUCCCUAUAGUUAUAGAGAGAAGCUUUACUUCAGAGAAACCCCUUCCAAGGUACUCACCAACAGUGGUGACAGGAGGCUGAGAAGGGUAGUACUGCACACUAGUGGUUGCUGGAAAGGGAACACCACCUGGGUUCAGGACCUAAAACCUUGCUAAAAAUGGGUUCUGCUGGAAAUGGCAAUGAAUAGCACUUCAGCUUUUCAAAUGUAACACUGUGAUCAAGUAAAAGCCAUAUUUCAAUAGAAAAUGGACACAGCCUUAAAAAUCUGGCAAAAAUAAAUAACCCCAAAUACA